rnacentral:rRNA from 1 species
UACGUAGGGUGCAAGCGUUGUCCGGAAUCAUUGGGCGUAAAGCGCGUGUAGGCGGUUCGGUAAGUCCGCUGUGAAAGUCGGGGGCUCAACCCUCGAAAGCCGGUGGAUACUGUCGGGCUAGAGUACGGAAGAGGCGAGUGGAAUUCCUGGUGUAGCGGUGAAAUGCGCAGAUAUCAGGAGGAACACCGGUGGCGAAGGCGGGUCUCUGGGCCGAAACUGACGCUGAGGAGCGAAAGCGUGGGGAGCAAACAGG